GUCGCUUUCGCACAAUGGCAGUGCUCCCGGCUCAUAACCGGGCAGUUGCAGGUUCGAUUCCUGCAAGCGGCACCA
rnacentral:tRNA from 1 species